rnacentral:rRNA from 1 species
AACGAACGCUGGCGGCAUGCCUAACACAUGCAAGUCGAACGAGACCUUCGGGUCUAGUGGCGCACGGGUGCGUAACGCGUGGGAACCUGCCCUUAGGUUCGGAAUAACUCCCCGAAAGGGGUGCUAAUACCGGAUAAUGUCUUCGGACCAAAGAUUUAUCGCCUUUGGAUGGGCCCGCGUUGGAUUAGCUAGUUGGUAGGGUAAAAGCCUACCAAGGCGACGAUCCAUAGCUGGUCUGGGAGGAUGAUCAGCCACACUGGGGCUGAGACACGGCCCAGACUCCUACGGGAAGCAGCAGUGGGGAAUAUUGGACAAUGGGCGAAAGCCUGAUCCAGCAAUGCCGCGUGAGUGAUGAAGGCCUUAGGGUUGUAAAGCUCUUUUACCCGGGAUGAUAAUGACAGUACCGGGAGAAUAAGCUCCGGCUAACUCCGUG